AAUGAACGCUGGCGGCAGGCCUAACACAUGCAAGUCGAACGGAUCCUUCGGGAUUAGUGGCGGACGGGUGAGUAACGCGUGGGAACAUACCCUUUGGUACGGAAUAGCCUCGGGAAACUGGGAGUAAUACCGUAUGUGGUCGAGAGACGAAAGAUUUAUCGCCAAAGGAUUGGCCCGCGUUGGAUUAGGUAGUUGGUGGGGUAAUGGCCUACCAAGCCGACGAUCCAUAGCUGGUUUGAGAGGAUGAUCAGCCACACUGGGACUGAGACACGGCCCAGACUCCUACGGGAGGCAGCAGUGGGGAAUCUUAGACAAUGGGGGAAACCCUGAUCUAGCCAUGCCGCGUGAUCGAUGAAGGCCUUAGGGUUGUAAAGAUCUUUCAGUGGGGAAGAUAAUGACUGUACCCACAGAAGAAGCCCCGGCUAACUACGUG
rnacentral:rRNA from 1 species